GAAUUCGCCCUUAGAGUUUGAUCCUGGCUCAGAACGAACGCUGGCGGCAGGCUUAACACAUGCAAGUCGAACGCCCCUCCGGGGGAGUGGCAGACGGGUGAGUAACGCGUGGGAACCUACCUUUCGGUACAGAACAACAGUUGGAAACGACUGCUAAUACCGUAUACGUCCUUCGGGAGAAAGAUUUAUCGCCGAUAGAGGGGCCCGCGUUGGAUUAGCUUGUUGGUGAGGUAAUGGCUCACCAAGGCGACGAUCCGUAGCUGGUCUGAGAGGAUGAUCAGCCACACUGGGACUUAGACACGGCCCAGACUCCUACGGGAGGCAGCAGUGGGGAAUAUUGGACAAUGGGCGCAAGCCUGAUCCAGCCAUGCCGCGUGAGUGAUGACGGCCCUAGGGUUGUAAAGCUCUUUCAGUGGUGAAGAUAAUGACGGUAACCACAGAAGAAGCCCCGGCUAACUCCGUGCCAGCAGCCGCGGUAAUAAGGGCGAAUUC
rnacentral:rRNA from 1 species